AGAGCGAACGCUGGCGGCAUGCUUAACACAUGCAAGUCGCACGGGCAGGGGAAACCCUGUCAGUGGCGGACGGGUGAGUAACGCGUAGGUAUCUAUCCUUGGGUGGGGGACAACGGCUGGAAACGGCUGCUAAUACCGCAUGAUGACCGAGGUCUAAAGGCGCAAGUCGCCUGGGGAGGAGCCUGCGUACGAUUAGCUUGUUGGUGGGGUAAAGGCCUACCAAGGCUACGAUCGUUAGCUGGUCUGAGAGGAUGAUCAGCCACAUUGGGACUGAGACACGGCCCAAACUCCUACGGGAGGCAGCAGUGGGGAAUAUUGGACAAUGGGCGCAAGCCUGAUCCAGCAAUGCCGCGUGUGUGAAGAAGGUCUUCGGAUUGUAAAGCACUUUCGACGGGACGAUGAUGACGGUACCCGUAGAAGAAGCCCGGCUAACUUCGUGCCAGCAGCCGC
rnacentral:rRNA from 1 species